GUUAUAUGGUCAAGUGAAGAAGCGCAUACGGUGGAUGCCUUGGCAGUCAGAGGCGAUGAAAGACGUGGUAGCCUGCGAAAAGCUUCGGGGAGUCGGCAAACAGACUUUGAUCCGGAGAUCUCUGAAUGGGGGAACCCACCUAGGAUAACCUAGGUAUCUUGUACUGAAUCCAUAGGUGCAAGAGGCGAACCAGGGGAACUGAAACAUCUAAGUACCCUGAGGAAAAGAAAUCAACCGAGAUUCCCUUAGUAGUGGCGAGCGAACGGGGAUUAGCCCUUAAGCUUCAUUGAUUUUAGCGGAACGCUCUGGAAAGUGCGGCCAUAGUGGGUGAUAGCCCCGUACGCGAAAGGAUCUUUGAAGUGAAAUCGAGUAGGACGGAGCACGAGAAACUUUGUCUGAACAUGGGGGGACCAUCCUCCAAGGCUAAAUACUACUGACUGACCGAUAGUGAACCAGUACCGUGAGGGAAAGGCGAAAAGAACCCCGGAGAGGGGAGUGAAAUAGAACCUGAAACCGUAUGCGUACAAGCAGUGGGAGCCUACUUGUUAGGUGACUGCGUACCUUUUGUAUAAUGGGUCAGCGACUUAUAUUCAGUGGCAAGCUUAACCGUAUAGGGUAGGCGUAGCGAAAGCGAGUCUUAAUAGGGCGUUUAGUCGCUGGGUAUAGACCCGAAACCGGGCGAUCUAUCCAUGAGCAGGUUGAAGGUUAGGUAACACUGACUGGAGGACCGAACCCACUCCCGUUGAAAAGGUAGGGGAUGACUUGUGGAUCGGAGUGAAAGGCUAAUCAAGCUCGGAGAUAGCUGGUUCUCCUCGAAAGCUAUUUAGGUAGCGCCUCAUGUAUCACUCUGGGGGGUAGAGCACUGUUUCGGCUAGGGGGUCAUCCCGACUUACCAAACCGAUGCAAACUCCGAAUACCCAGAAGUGCCGAGCAUGGGAGACACACGGCGGGUGCUAACGUCCGUCGUGAAAAGGGAAACAACCCAGACCGCCAGCUAAGGUCCCAAAGUUGUGGUUAAGUGGUAAACGAUGUGGGAAGGCUUAGACAGCUAGGAGGUUGGCUUAGAAGCAGCCACCCUUUAAAGAAAGCGUAAUAGCUCACUAGUCGAGUCGGCCUGCGCGGAAGAUGUAACGGGGCUCAAACCACACACCGAAGCUGCGGGUGUCACGUAAGUGACGCGGUAGAGGAGCGUUCUGUAAGCCUGUGAAGGUGAGUUGAGAAGCUUGCUGGAGGUAUCAGAAGUGCGAAUGCUGACAUGAGUAACGACAAUGGGUGUGAAAAACACCCACGCCGAAAGACCAAGGGUUCCUGCGCAACGUUAAUCGACGCAGGGUUAGUCGGUUCCUAAGGCGAGGCUGAAAAGCGUAGUCGAUGGGAAACAGGUUAAUAUUCCUGUACUUCUGGUUACUGCGAUGGAGGGACGGAGAAGGCUAGGCCAGCUUGGCGUUGGUUGUCCAAGUUUAAGGUGGUAGGCUGAAAUCUUAGGUAAAUCCGGGGUUUCAAGGCCGAGAGCUGAUGACGAGUCGUCUUUUAGAUGACGAAGUGGUUGAUGCCAUGCUUCCAAGAAAAGCUUCUAAGCUUCAGGUAACCAGGAACCGUACCCCAAACCGACACAGGUGGUCGGGUAGAGAAUACCAAGGCGCUUGAGAGAACUCGGGUGAAGGAACUAGGCAAAAUGGCACCGUAACUUCGGGAGAAGGUGCGCCGGCUAGGGUGAAGGAUUUACUCCAUAAGCUCUGGCUGGUCGAAGAUACCAGGCCGCUGCGACUGUUUAUUAAAAACACAGCACUCUGCAAACACGAAAGUGGACGUAUAGGGUGUGACGCCUGCCCGGUGCCGGAAGGUUAAUUGAUGGGGUUAGCGCAAGCGAAGCUCUUGAUCGAAGCCCCGGUAAACGGCGGCCGUAACUAUAACGGUCCUAAGGUAGCGAAAUUCCUUGUCGGGUAAGUUCCGACCUGCACGAAUGGCGUAACGAUGGCGGCGCUGUCUCCACCCGAGACUCAGUGAAAUUGAAAUCGCUGUGAAGAUGCAGUGUAUCCGCGGCUAGACGGAAAGACCCCGUGAACCUUUACUGUAGCUUUGCACUGGACUUUGAGCCUGCUUGUGUAGGAUAGGUGGGAGGCUUUGAAGCGUGGACGCCAGUUCGCGUGGAGCCAUCCUUGAAAUACCACCCUGGCAUGCUUGAGGUUCUAACUCUGGUCCGUAAUCCGGAUCGAGGACAGUGUAUGGUGGGCAGUUUGACUGGGCGGUCUCCUCCUAAAGAGUAACGGAGGAGUACGAAGGUGCGCUCAGACCGGUCGGAAAUCGGUCGCAGAGUAUAAAGGCAAAAGCGCGCUUGACUGCGAGACAGACACGUCGAGCAGGUACGAAAGUAGGUCUUAGUGAUCCGGUGGUUCUGUAUGGAAGGGCCAUCGCUCAACGGAUAAAAGGUACUCCGGGGAUAACAGGCUGAUACCGCCCAAGAGUUCAUAUCGACGGCGGUGUUUGGCACCUCGAUGUCGGCUCAUCACAUCCUGGGGCUGAAGCCGGUCCCAAGGGUAUGGCUGUUCGCCAUUUAAAGUGGUACGCGAGCUGGGUUUAGAACGUCGUGAGACAGUUCGGUCCCUAUCUGCCGUGGACGUUUGAGAUUUGAGAGGGGCUGCUCCUAGUACGAGAGGACCGGAGUGGACGAACCUCUGGUGUUCCGGUUGUCACGCCAGUGGCAUUGCCGGGUAGCUAUGUUCGGAAAAGAUAACCGCUGAAAGCAUCUAAGCGGGAAACUUGCCUCAAGAUGAGAUCUCACUGGGAACUUGAUUCCCCUGAAGGGCCGUCGAAGACUACGACGUUGAUAGGCUGGGUGUGUAAGCGUUGUGAGGCGUUGAGCUAACCAGUACUAAUUGCCCGUGAGGCUUGACCAUAUAACACCCAAACA
rnacentral:rRNA from 1 species